rnacentral:rRNA from 1 species
CAAUAGCGUAUAUUAAAGUUGUUGCGGUUAAAAAGCUCGUAGUUGGAUCUCGGCAGGCAGGGGGUGGUUCGCUCUUAGCGCUACUGCACCAUUUGCCUGUGUGAUUGGCGGAGGUUUCGGGGUGCUCUUCGUUGAGUGACCCGGGGCGCCGUCAGGUUUACUUUGAAAAAAUUAGAGUGCUCAAAGCAGGCUUUUCACGCUUGAAUAUUCGUGCAUGGAAUAAUGGAAUAGGAACUCGUUUCUAUUUUGUUGGUUUUCGGAAAUCGAGUUAAUGAUUAAUAGGGACAAUUGGGGGCAUUAGUAUUCAGACGACAGAGGUGAAAUUCUUGGACCGUCUGAAGACUAACUACUGCGAAAGCAUUUGCCAAGAGUGUUUUCAUUAA